GAAGGGGGACAUCUCGAAGAGAAGCAGCAAGACCUGGGGAUCCGGUGGUUCAUUUUGGUCGUCGCCUGUGAGGCCAGCAUGCAAGAGUAAGAGGAAGCUAGGAGCAGUCUCAAAAAGAGGUGGAACCAAGGACAGCAAAUGCUGACGAGGAGAAGAGACGGACGAGCGUUUGCUUGCGGUUAAUACCGAAGGGACGGGAUGAAACAAGGAAGCCAGAAUGCAGCGGCCCCUCGAUAUCACCAGGAACUGCUACAGGAGGAGGCGUUCUGACACGGGUAACUAGGAUUAAUUGCCACGGCUGAAGUUGAAGAGACCAAGAAACGUAAGCCGCGAAGGGGCACAUCUUGAAGAGAGGGGGCUAGACCUAGCGAUGCAGUUGUUCGUUUUGGUCGUCGCCUGUGAGGCCAGCAUGCAAGAGUAAGAGGAAGCUAGGAGCAGUCUCAAAAAGAGGUGGAACCAAGGACAGCAAAUGCUGACGAGGAGAAGAGACGGACGAGCGUUUGCUUGCGGUUAAUACCGAAGGGACGGGAUGAAACAAGGAAGCCAGAAUGCAGCGGCCCCUCGAUAUCACCAGGAACUGCUACAGGAGGAGGCGUUCUGACACGGGUAACUAGGAUUAAUUGCCACGGCUGAAGUUGAAGAGACCAAGAAACGUAAGCCGCGAAGGGGCACAUCUUGAAGAGAGGGGGCUAGACCUAGCGAUGCAGUUGUUCGUUUUGGUCGUCGCCUGUGAGGCCAGCAUGCAAGAGUAAGAGGAAGCUAGGAGCAGUCUCAAAAAGAGAUGGAACCAAGGACAGCAAAUGCUGACGAGGAGAAGAGACGGACGAGCGUUUGCUUGCGGUUAAUACCGAAGGGACGGGAUGAAACAAGGAAGCCAGAAUGCAGCGGCCCCUCGAUAUCACCAGGAACUGCUACAGGAGGAGGCGUUCUGGCACGGGUA